rnacentral:rRNA from 1 species
GAACGAACGCUGGCGGCGUGCCUAACACAUGCAAGUCGAACGGAGUUGUUACUUCGGUGAUAACUUAGUGGCGAACGGGUGAGUAACGCGUGAGGAACCUACCUUUCAGUGGGGGACAACAGUUGGAAACGACUGCUAAUACCGCAUAAUGUCAUCGAGCGGCAUCGCUUGAUGACCAAAGAUUUAUUGCUGAAAGAUGGCCUCGCGUCUGAUUAGCUAGUUGGUGAGGUAACGGCUCACCAAGGCGACGAUCAGUAGCCGGUCUGAGAGGAUGAACGGCCACAUUGGGACUGAGAUACGGCCCAGACUCCUACGGGAGGCAGCAGUGGGGAAUAUUGGGCAAUGGGGGAAACCCUGACCCAGCAACGCCGCGUGAAGGAAGAAGGCCUUCGGGUUGUAAACUUCUUUUAGCAGGGACGAAGAACGUGACGGUACCUGCAGAAAAAGCAACGGCUAACUACGUG